UGCAUUGGCCGGGAAUCGAACCCGAGGCGCCCGCGUGGCAGGCGAGCAUUCUACCACUGAACCAAAAGC
rnacentral:tRNA from 1 species